CAGUCGCCGCGGUAAUACGAAGGGGGCUAGCGUUGCUCGGAAUGACUGGGCGUAAAGGGCGCGUAGGCGGAUUGUUUAGUUAGGCGUGAAAUUCCUGGGCUUAACCUGGGGACUGCGCUUAAUACAGGCAGUCUAGAGUGAGGAAGAGGGUUGUGGAAUUCCCAGUGUAGAGGUGAAAUUCGUAGAUAUCGGGAAGAACACCGGUGGCGAAGGCGGCAACCUGGUCCUUGACUGACGCUGAGGCGCGAAAGCGUGGGGAGCAAACAGGAUUAGAUACCCCUGUAGUCCCUGUCUCUUAUAC
rnacentral:rRNA from 1 species